AGUAGAGGGCGGGGAUAACGGGGUGGCCACAGGGGUGGGGUGGGUGCUCCCUGUUCCCCGCCUUCCCGGGCGCGAUCGGCGCUCCCCGCGUGACCCGGUCACGUGCUCCGCCUCGCCUCAGUCAGCCAAGUGCGCGCGAACUCUACUCCGCUAUCUGCGCUGGUGUGGCUCCUCGGGCGGGAGGCGGUGUUGGCGCCGCGCUGUGGCCGUGAGGGAGAGCGCCUCGGUGGCCCUCCCCCCACCCCCUGCCGCAGGUGCCCCCUCACGCCGUUCCUCCCCGCCCUUCUAAGGGACGAAAAGCGGUUUCCUCGCCGUCUCUCGGCCGCGUUCUUUCGUACACUGUUGCCCUAUUUUCCUUCAGUUUUAUUUGAGGUAAAACCCAGCUCCAGGGCAGCUCUCUCUGCUGCGGUACCGACUCAGAUGAAAGCUACUUUAGGUUGGUAGUGUUCUGAUUUACACCUUCUGGAGUGGUUGUAGGUUGUCUUCUUUUUGUUUUGUUCUUUUUUUGGGGGGGAGGUGGCUUGUUUGCUUCCAGCAUAACUUAGGUAACAUAAAGCUUACAGAGCUUUAUUCAGGUGCUGCCCCCAGUUUACGACAGCGAACUCAAAGGCACAAGUCCCUGCAGCCCUCACAGCUUUGUGUGGUUUUCAGUUUUAACGAGAAGGCUCUUCAUUCCGUCGCCUAGGUCAUAUCUGGCAACUUCAUAAAAUUUGGACAACAAAACUGCUUUCUAUUUAUUGAUAACUUCUCUGCUUUGGUCCAGGUUCUGUUUUUGGGGAAAUCAACUAUAUAACAUGAAUGACAGAAGGCAUCAGUCUCUAUUCUUUGCCAGUCUGCCAGAGCUGCAGAAACUCUGUGCCGCUACAAUAACACUGAGCCCCCAGUUACCAGAAAGUGAGAUGAGAAGCACACAGAUAAAAGUCUGCAGACAGCUAGUAUUCCUGUAUCGAGAUGUCCUUUCUGCACCUGUUAUUGGAACACUAAAUCAAAUUUCAGUUGUAAUGGCGAUACCAUUUUAUAAAUCAGGAUUAUGCAAAGCAUAUGUGGAGAGACAAGGAGCUACUUUGGAAGCACCACAAAGAGUGAAUCCAGCCAUUCUCCAAACUUGCCUCUCCUACACACUAACAGCCAGACUCGCACCUAUGUGGAACAAGGCUGGUCAUCUCCUGGUGCAAGGAAAAGACUUCUUGUCUCAAACGGGAAAGCAAAAUGCGGUUGUUCUAGAUGUCAAUGUGUCAGAGACACAGCUUUGCAUCAUUGUGGAGGCUUGCUCAGUUCGGUUACCACCCCCCGAGCUGGGAGAUUUUGAUAUUUCGGCCAACACCAUAAAGCUGUUUGACAGCAAUGAAAACACAGUUAUUGACAGACAUUCCAUAUUAGCUAACUGGUGCUAUGUCUUGCCAAGCAUGAAAAUGGGUCAGAUCAUAAACAUCAGCCAUAUAAUUCCUCCAGAAUCUCCUUUCCAUUCUUAUGAAGAAUUUCAGAUGCACUGGAAGAAUCUGUAUGGAUAUAUUCUUCCAGAGAAUAUUGAGGGGAGAGAAAUAUACUUGAGUGUUUACUUCAAGCCAAUAGGGGAAAGGUUAUUUACGUACCCUCUAAGAUGCAUUCGAAGUCAGCCAGUGCAGUAUUUCCCUAGAACAGAUUCAGAAAGUGUGUUGAAUGCUUUUAUUUCUGAUGUGAAGGCUAAGUUUACACAUCUAUGUGGAUUUCCAGUAAGGAUGACAAGUAAAGCACUGUAUGCUACACAAGAACUCUCCAGGACUCCAGCAUGUGAAGUACAGACUGAGUCUAUGAAAUUGGCUGGUGAGAUGGUUUGUGUCGUAUCGCUGACCCAGACACCUCCAAGGAAACAGACUUCGGCUAGCAUUUCUUCCUCAUGCAGUACGGAGAACAGCCACUGGAUGGAGCAUUUGAUCAAAGAGCCAAAACCUCACACUUUUUCAAGUAGCAAUGAAAGUGCAAAAAAUAUUAGCGUUGAAACAACUGAGAACUUAAUCAAUAGGCAAAUACCAGGACUAUCAGAGCUACCACCUCGGAAGUCCUUAGGAAUGCCUGGAAGCUCAGCCUUUGAACUCUCUCCAAAAAAGAUUAGCAAAAUUAUACCAAUUUUCAAAGGAAGGUUGAUGCAGAUGAAUGGAAACACCACAAAUCAAACUGAUGGGAAGAAAAGAAAAAGUGUUGAAAGACAAUCGCCAGUAAAAAGUGUUAAAUCUUCAAUGUUGACUGUUUGCAAGUCCAGCUUAACUCAGCUUUAUAAACCUGCUACUCACAGCAGCUUACUUCAGAUAAUUACUGAGAAAGCAUACGUAAAACAAGAUGUAUCUGUAUUUCAAUGGAAAACAGAGUCUGGUGAACAAAUGAUUAAUUCUGAUUCUUCCAGUAACUCAGCUGCAGGUUGGAGUUCAAGUGAAGUCAGUCACAAUAAGGCAAGUUCUCCUUUCUUGCGUAAGAAUGCUAGGCCAGUGCUUCAGAAAUCUGACAUCAGUCCAAAACUAAAUACAUACGCAUCUUCCACUUCCAGUUCAAGAGGAGGAAAAAAAUUUGCAAGUCAAAAUACCACACAAGCUCUUGGAAAACAACACCAGUCAAAUAAAGUACAUUUGCAGAUUUGUAAAUUAGAGAACGGAAUGACAAAUUCCAGUUUAUCACAGCAACGAACAAAGGAAUCAAAUGAAGGACGAGGGUUAAAUAUUCAUGAAUCCAUCUUAAAUGAUACAGUGUGCAUUGCCAAAAAUGAUGAAAGCAAACCAUCCUGCCGUUCUAAGGAUUGCAUUGCUAAGACAACCUGUCUUCAUUCCAACUCUGUCUGUGAACAGAUGUUUACAGGGAACAAAUAUCUGACAUGUGAUGAAACAAUGACCUCAAAACUGACUCAUUCAAUGAAGGAGAGCAACACGGAAGCAUCUGGAAAGAAAGGCUGUGCCAGAAAAAGACAGAAAGAAGAAGGUUACUCAAAGUUAAAGAAAGUCAGAAGAAGUAAGCUUCCUAUUUAGGAUGUAAUGGAAUACUGAAGAAAAUUCUGGGCUUCCAAGAGGCCAUUAACGUACUUGAGGAUCUCUGAGCUUUGUGAUCUUUACUCUGUUUAUUUCAUGUCACUGCUACCUGUUUCUGGAUGAAAAAUUGAAGGUUAAAUACAUACAGUCAAGUGAAUCCAUAUGUCACCUUCUACACCAGACAGUUUAGUUUAAUAAUCCUCAAAUGGUUUUGGAAGUUCGGCUAAUUGUUUGGAAUUCUUUAAUCACAUGAUGUCUAUCCUAGCACUUGCUUACAUGCUUGAUCGCUGUUCCAAGCUGUUUUGAAGUUUCGAGUCUACGUUUUAUGACAUAAUUAUAUUUAAUGACGCAGUUAUUUGCUAUAAUAUCUGCAUCUCUUUGUUUUACCAGUGAAACAUUCCUAAAUAACUUCUCCUUGUCAAAUAGUUAGAAACUAAACACUGCAGUUUUUCUUAGUUGGGGAAUGAUCUUAAGACUGGAUUUGAUUACAGCUUCUUUAGCUCCUGUUAGAUUUUUUAGUGCAUUUCCCUUCUCACAGAUAAAACCAUUGAAUGUAAAGGGUUUUUAAAUUCCAAUUCACAACACCAUUCUUGAGCAAUUCGUGCAGAAUACAUAUUGCUGCCAUUUUAGUAAUUUUAUCAAAUUAAAUGGAUUUAUAAAUUUACGUAUAAAUUAUUCUGGUCCCAUUAUGUUGUUUGUAAGUGAAUAUUAUUGCGUUACAUGGAAAUUAAGAAGCAAAAGCCAAUUUCUAAACUCAAACAAUAUAAAACUGUAGUAUAACAUUGGCUUUGUUAAUACAUUGCCAAAACCUUUUCUUUCCUAAAGGAAUUGGUAUGGUGAGACUUCACGUGCUUUAUGAAAACUUUUUAUAUUGCCAUAGUUGUGUUUUUAUUUGCCUCGUGUUUCAGGUUAGGAUUUUUCCCUACUACAAUGACAAGUUUUGUUGUCGUUAUUUAUUUCAAAUGGAAAACGUUAGCAUAGCUCUCUCAUUUAAUGGUGCCAGCAUUUAAAAGUGAACACUUCAGUGACUUGUAAAUUUAUUGCAUACGAUAUUAAAAAAACCUAAAUAACACAAAUAACACAAAAAAAGAGCAAUACACUCAUCAUAUUUACAUUGUUUGGAAACUGGUAUACAAAACCACUUUUCAAAUGCCAUGGAUUAGUUAUUCUUUCAUAGGUUUGUCUAGAUGUAAUCUAUCUUUUUCAAUAAUUUUUCCACAAUAUGGAAAAGCUCAUGGAACAGUUGCCUUUAUGCUCUGCUAUAUAAACUUGUGCUUCAUCUGGUCUGUCUCCUAUAGCUGCCAUUUAACUGCUGUCUGUUGCCAGCAUUUGCCUGGUAUCUCCUUAUUAAUGGAAUUCAUUCUGCAUCGUUCUUGUGUUUUAAAAUGUUUGCAUCACUUUGUGUUAUAUAUUAUAAUACUCUAAAUAGUGAAAAUACAAUUAUUGUAGAUCCAAUUUGUUCCACUUCAAAUAAACUACUGAAUAAUUCACAUGUCCUAAAUGGCCAAAUCCUUUCUAGUCUGUGCUGUGGGUGGGAACCUGUUAUUCUAACCCUCCCAAUCCUCCUAAAUGUGCAUCAGCACACUUGAUACAGAGAGGAAAUGCGCUGGGUGCAGGAGUGGUGGUGGAAAUGCCACCGAUGGGGAGGCAGGGUUAGUGCAGGGGCUGCCUUUGCAGGGGUUUAUUGAUGCUGAAGGGAUCUUUGCUGCUACCUUUUGCUGUAUGCAGAGCAGUGUUAAGAGCUUGUCUCAGUUCCUCCUGUAAUGAGUUCUCACUAUUUGGGCAGUGCCCUCGCUGCCUGGAGUCACCUGGGGCCUCUGCGAGCGAUGUCUGCAGGAUGGAUUUCUCAGGGGGAAAGGAACAGACAGACUCACCCACCUGCUCCCAAAAUACCCUGAUGUGCAUCAGUAACAGGUGGAAAUGUAACAGGUUAAAGAAAUCCCCAGGUGUCAGAAACUGGUCAGAGGUUAAAAGGCAGAAGAUAUUGCCCACCCUUCAAUGGCUACUGGGUUUUAUCAUUUUGUAUGUCUCUUUCAUCGGUUUUUCUCUGUCUAAGUCAACUCAGACUAACAUUUGACAAAGCUGUCUGCAGUAUUGAAGGAUUCAGAGGACUACAGCUGAACUGUUUGUACUGAGUUUACAUUAUUUAGUAAAUAUGCACUUCCAGAGAGCAAUCUGGUGCAUUAUGCAUAUUUUCAUAAGUUGACAGUGUUCUUCUCUUCCACAGAUGUAACAGAUGUAAGCCGAAGGGACUUCUUACAUUCUUUAAACUGGCCUGUGCUCAAGUUCCAUGUCAAAUCUGAACUUAGAAGAUUACAAAUUAUUUAGACAGGGAAGCUUGUUAUUUAGUUCCUUUGGUGCAGGGUUUGUACCAGCUUGUGUUAAUAGCUGGUUUUAAAACAGUCAGGUUGAAGCCCUCUCUCUCUGUAUCACAGAGUAGUGGAGUGAAUGGGGUAAUUCAAGGACUUUGGGCCGUGUGCUGAUCAGCAUGCUGGUCCUCACGUCGUGGAGAACCAUGAAGAAUUUCAUGGCAUCUCUCCUCUUUGUUCAGGAAAACGACGUGUUGCAGCUGUGAAAAAGAUUCACUGUUCUAUCUUGUUGCUAGUCUGCAGAAUACAGAGCAGCGGCUCAACCUCUCACCUAAAAAUUUGCAGCCAGGAUGAGCAAAUGUGUUUUCCCUGGGAGCUGCACAGAACUGGAUGCAAACCCUGAGCAGCUUAAUCCCCCCAGGGCAGCAUUAGAUUCCAGGACAAAGCAGCCUUACUUUGCUGGAAAAUAUGUGCAAAUUGUUCCCAAUUCUAUCAGGAACACACAGCUUCUUGCAAUGAUCUUACUGUUUUUCAAAAGAGUGACAAAUUUAUUUUUAGGCUCUAUGUAAAAAAGAUUUAAGCUCACUCCAGUGAGAGAAACUGAAAAGUAUUGGAAGCUGAUGCAUCUGACCCUCUUGCAGAAUGGGUCUCAUUGUCGCAUAAUACCUUUGACAAACAGACAGUGUGAGAGCAGCCCAGCUCAGCUGGCUUCAACUGCAUAUCAGAGUAUGAGUUUAAUUAAAUACUAUUAAACUAUCAGAAGUGGCCAUCUAGGUAGAAGUGCCUAAGUUGAACUUUCCUGUAACUAACCAGAAAGCACAUGCUAGCCCAGUGAAAUGCAUUUUCCUUAAUUACACACGAUGUUGCAGCACAGAUUUAAGCAAGAGCAAAGAUCAGCCUUACAGAGCUGCUGCCCACCAGUCUCAGCUCAGCUCACUCCAGCAGAAUUGGCUCAAGCUGCUCACAUGCCCCAGUGCCUUCCAGAAUGAAAGAAAGUUAUCCCACGGGGAGAUGCUAGCAGAAGGAGCCUGUCCCUACACAGUCAAAAAGAUGCAGAUACCUAUUUAACUUUUUGUGUUACAUUUUGGAUUCUACUAUGCAGCAAUGAUAUUUCAGGUUGGAUAUUAGGAAAAAUUUCUUCUCCGAAAAGUGGUCAGGUGCUGGCACAGGCUGCUCAGGGAGGUGGUUGAGUCACUGUCCCUGGAGGUGUUCGAGAAACCUGUAGAUGUAGCACUAAGGGAUAUGGGUUAGUGUGGAAAUAUCAGAGGUAGGUGGAUGGUUGGACUGGAUGACCUUGGUGGACUUUUUCAAUGUUGGUGAUUCUAUGAUUCUAUGUUCUCAUUGUGAGCGGAGCUACACAGCUGUGGGAUACUUCAGAGGAGGAACAUGAAGCAAAAUUCAGCCUCUGCUGAAGAGCAGGAAAAGGAUUUUGUAAUUUGGAAAGAGUAACAAUGAAAUCAGGAUUCUGCCCAUCAGUGAAAAUGAAUGCGUCCAGUAAUGGAAAAUGCAUGGCUCCCCGUCCCUGGGCACUGAGCCAGCGCACUGUGGUAUAAGCAUACAUCUUCAUUAAUUCUCAUUUAGAGAAGAAUCGAUUGAUGCUAGCAGUGUAAACUCAAGGAGUGUAAACCACGCUUCAGAUGUAAAGGACAAAAAAAAAAAAACACGUGAGUUUCAGGAUUUCAGCCUUACCGUUAGCACUAGGUAUGCUUGCAUUCACUAGCUAUUGAAAUGCCCGUGUCCGGUU